UGCUCGAGUGGCGAACGGGUGAGUAACACGUGGGUGAUCUGCCCUGCACUUCGGGAUAAGCUUGGGAAACUGGGUCUAAUACCGGAUAGGACCAUCGUUUAGUGUCGGUGGUGGAAAGUUUUUUCGGUGUGGGAUGAGCUCGCGGCCUAUCAGCUUGUUGGUGGGGGUAAUGGCCUACCAAGGCGUCGACGGGUAGCCGGCCUGAGAGGGUGUACGGCCACAUUGGGACUGAGAUACGGCCCAG
rnacentral:rRNA from 1 species